ACCUUCCGCUACGAUAAGAAACGAUGGCCCUCAUACGAUUAAAAAUGUCCAUACAGUCGCUAUGAAACCGUGGCACUCAACUGGAUAAUUGGACAGAUCUGGGUCAUGCGGAGUUAAUGAAGUAUUUGUUGAAGUGCAAUUUGCUUGAAAAAAAAAGUUUAUCUUGGAACUUUUUUCCUCUCACGCUAUCUGUCAAAUGUUUCUCCGAUCAAAGAAACGAACGUUUUCGUGACUCGGACUUAGUUUAUUUAUGUUUGUGUCCGAAGCAAAAUUUUACUCGAGAAAGUAAUCAGUUUGAUUAAAAAUGCGUUGUUCAGUGAAAGACUGUCCGAAUUAGAGUAGAAAUACCCGCGUAAGUUUUCAUCGUUUCACCUCGGAACAAAUGCACUUUGUCGGUUUUCGUGGAAACGACAGACUUAUUCCGAACAAGGAUACCCGUGUCUGUAGAUCGAAAUGAAAAGGGAACCUGGUAAAACUUCGAAACGGUCUCCAACAAUUAGGCCGAUUUUCGAGCAAGAGGACUACGUCCAUCAUCAUAACGUAGCGCAGAUUGUUUAGCCACUAUAUUCAUAACUACGCAGAUUUCAUCCUAAUCCAUGGAGUGGUGAGAACAUCGCAGAAUCUGAGUGUGAAAUUCCGAUUUUUUUUUCUAAAAAUUUGCGAAACUCUACUCAUCGGUCCGGAAAAAAUGUUGUGCUAAAUAUCAAAGAUUGCACGAAAUGUGGCAAAAGAAAUCUCAGUAUUGGAAGUUCAAGAAAUUCAAUCAGCUGAACAAGCAGUUCGAAGAUCCACAACGCCUCAGUAAAGUGUACUAUGAAGACCAGAUUCAGGUGGCAACAAUAGCCGAAGUAUGUUCAUUUAAGUAUUAUUCAUUGAUCCAGAUUUUUUUUUGCCUUUUGUAUGAACUCGAAUGGAAUAAAUGGUGUAAUUUGUAUUUUUAUUUUAA